GGUGCCAGCAGCCGCGGUAAUUCCAGCUCCAAUAGCGUAUAUUAAAGUUGUUGCAGUUAAAAAGCUCGUAGUUGAAUUUCGGGAUCAAAUUGUUGGUCGUGCCUCGGUACGCACUGGUAUUAUGGUUCCUACCUUCUGAAGAACCGCGAUGUCAUUAAUUUGGUGUCGUGGGGAAUCAGGACUGUUACUUUGAAAAAAUUAGAGUGUUUAAAGCAGGCUUACGCUUGAAUACAUUAGCAUGGAAUAAUGAAAUAGGACGUUUGAUUCUAUUUUGUUGGUUUCUAGGAUUGACGUAAUGAUUAAUAGGGAUAGUUGGGGGCAUUAGUAUUCAAUUGUCAGAGGUGAAAUUCUUGGAUUUAUUGAAGACUAACUACUGCGAAAGCAUUUGCCAAGGAUGUUUUCAUUAAUCAAGAACGAAAGUUAGGGGGAUCGAAGACGAUCAGAUACCGUCGUAGUCUUAACCAUAAACUAUGCCGACUAGGGAUCGGAUGAUGUUAAUUUUUUAAUGACUCAUUCGGCGCCUUACG
rnacentral:rRNA from 1 species